UACGAAGGGGGCUAGCGUUGUUCGGAAUUACUGGGCGUAAAGCGCACGUGGGCGGAUAUUUAAGUCAGGGGUGAAAUCCCGGGGCUCAACCCCGGAACUGCCUUUGAUACUGGGUAUCUCGAGUCCGAGAGAGGUGAGUGGAAUUCCGAGUGUAGAGGUGAAAUUCGUAGAUAUUCGGAGGAACACCAGUGGCGAAGGCGGCUCACUGGCUCGGUACUGACGCUGAGGUGCGAAAGCGUGGGGAGCAAACAGG
rnacentral:rRNA from 1 species